rnacentral:rRNA from 1 species
GCGUAGCCGAUGGACAACAGGUUGAUAUUCCUGUACUACCUAUGUAACUGAUGGAAUGACGAAGAAGGCUAAAAGGAGCCGGUUAUUGGAUUCCGGUCUAAGUACAAAGGCUUAUAAAUUGGGAAAUCCGUUUAUAGUUUAAGCUGAAGUAUGAUGGCGUGAUGUAGAAAUACAUUGGAAGUCCUUUGACGCCAAGCUUCCGAGAAAAGUUUCUAGGGUUAAUUACAUAGGUACCCGUACCGAGAACCGACACAGGUGGGCAAGGAGAGUAUCCUAAGGUGAGCGAGAGAACUAUGGUUAAGGAACUCGGCAAAAUGACCCCGUAACUUAGGGAUAAGGGGUGGUCUGGCGACAGACCCGCAGUAAAGAGGCCCAGGCGACUGUUUACCAAAAACACAGCUCUCUGCUAAGUCGUAAGACGAUGUAUAGGGGGUGACACCUGCCCAGUGCUGGAAGGUUAAGAGGAUGGCUUAGAAAUGACGCAAGUCGAUAUGUUUCGAAGGUCAGAAUUGAAGCCCCAGUGAACGGCGGCCGUAACUAUAACGGUCCUAAGGUAGCGAAAUUCCUUGUCAGGUAAGUUCUGACCCGCACGAAAGGUGUAACGAUCUGGGUGCUGUCUCGACCAUAGACUCGGUGAAAUCAUAAUACCUGUGAAAAUGCAGGUUACCCGCGACAGGACGGAGAGACCCCGUGGAGCUUUACUGUAGCUUGAUAUUGAAAUUCGGUAUGUUAUGUAGAGGAUAGGUGGGAGACUUUGAAAUGAGGACGCUAGUUCUCAUGGAGUCAACCUUGGAAUACCACCCUUAAUGUAUUGGAUUUCUAACCUAGGACCGUGAUCCGGUUCGGGGACAGUGUCUGGUGGGCAGUUUGACUGGGGCGGUCGCCUCCCAAAAAGUAACGGAGGCGCCCAAUGGUUCCCUCAGAAUGGUUGGAAAUCAUUCGCAGAGCGUAAAGGUAUAAGGGAGCUUGACUGCAAGACUUACAAGUCGAGCAGAUACGAAAGUAGGGCUUAGUGAUCAGGCGAUUCAGUAUGGAAUGGUCGUCGCUUAACGGAUAAAAGUUACCCCGGGGAU